GGAGUGGUCCUGCGCGAUGAAGCACCGUGAACCAUGUCAGGCGGGGAACCGAGCAGCAUUAAGCGGAUGUCUUCAUGUGAUGCAGAUCAGCCUCCCCUUC
rnacentral:SRP_RNA from 2 species